GGCAGGGGCAGGCAGAUCUCUAUGAGUUCCAUGCCAACCUGGUCUACAUAGGAUUACCAAGCAGGACCUUAAAAAAAAAAAAAAAGCAGAAAUCAUGCAAGUUUUAAAUCUUACGUUAGAAGGAAAGUUGGCUAGACCAAACUCUUCUAGGACACAUACAUUUUCAUCAUGGAUCCUGUAAAUAUUAUUUUCUUAAGGCUUGUCACUUGAUCCCUUUUGGCAAUUACCUUGUCUUUAAUUGACUUGUGGAUUAUCUAGUGAACAUUGCUGUGCUUAAAGAGUGCUGUGCUGUGGUUUGUUUAUAGAAGGAAGCAAAAGAGAAGAGUUGAAGCGAGAAGCUCAAAUCUAUAAAGUAUUCUUGGUUAUCAGGACUUUAUUUUUUUUUUCUUUUUUGGAUAACAGCAUUGUUUAGAAGAGGAUGAAAAAUUAGCUGAACCUGAUCCAUGUUUUCAUCCAAAGGAAUGAUUUACGUCCUGUUGAACAAUGACAUUAAUCUGAUGAUGUAAAAGCAGUUUCUAGUGAUAGGGUGGUCACUUUGGGAGAAAGAUAAACAUAACAAAAGACAAAGAAGCCUUCCUGUCAUCUCUGGGUAGACCUCACCAUGUCUGACACAAAGCUCUCACGCACUGUUUGCAGGAAAGGCUCCUGCUCUGAUCUCCCUGCUCUAAGCGAUGGAAAUACCUUGUUACUCAUACUCAGAAAACAGCCUCAUCUCAUGUCUUCCUUGUCCUUGGAAGAUGACUUUUCCCCCCAUAACUUUGCCUCUUUGCUCCUUGAUAAAAACAGUUGAGAUGCCUGAGCACAGAUGGCAGAGAGAUUGUUUGCGUCAUCGUCUGUGCCUUUUGGUUCCCCUUAUGAAGAGAACAGGGCACCCUGUACAAACGGUUGGGUUAUGUGCUGAUUUCUGACAUUCAUGGGGGAAAGAAACAGGAAGUUCCUCUUCCCUAAGCAAAUCCAUGUGGACUGACACACCUCGGGCAUCAGGGAGAUACACGGUUCAGAAACACUGAGAAAGGAAAGGGGAAAUGGCUGUGUAGGGAAGGAUAGUUUCCAAAAGUGUAAUGUUUGUAUUCAUUCUGCAUUUCCUUUUGGUACAGUAUUUUGCCUACUAAGUUGUACGGCCCUUCACUUUCUAUGGGAUUAGUUGGUAUAAGAUGUGACUGUGCUCCUGUUGACAAAAAUGCAUGCGACUGUGCUGACUCACACAAACAGCACAACACCCUAACAACACCCUAAUCUCCACCAUAUAAUAUUUGCUCCCGAGGACGCUCCCUCACGACCUACUCAGGGCAGAAGAUAAUUCCUGUCCUGAUUUCUUAUAGCAUCAGUAUGUGGUGACUGGUGGAGGCUGGGGUAUGGCUCAGUGGGUAAAGCAUAGUUGGUAUGAGGACCCAAGUCUCAGUCUCUAGCAUCCACGUAUCAGUAGGUCAUGGUUGUGUUCAGCUGUAGCUUAAUGAAGACAGGUGAUGGAGACGUGGUGAACGGAGACAGGAUUAUCCCGGAAACUCCCUGGCCAGCCAGAUUAAACGAAACCAACAGUUCCAGGUUCAGUGAGAGGCCCUGUCUCAAAAACUAAGAUGAAAAAAAAAUAAUUGAGGAAGACACACAAUAUUAACCUCUAGUCUCCAUGUAUACACACACAUGCACACACUGGAGAUAAACUUUGCAGGAAUGCAGUUGCCACAACAAACUUUGAGGGUUUUGUUUUUGUUUUGUUUUGUUUUUUUCUUGUCAAUUUUGUGUUCUCCAGUCUCUUCUGCCUUUCUUUGCAUGGUUGUCGGCUCUUCUGACUGUGGUGGCCCUCCAUGAAACAGCCAAUAGCAAUUUGCUUAUCCAUCCUAUUAUUAAUAAAUAUUUGUAUACUCCAGUUUGAAGCCACUGUGACUGGACCUGUACCGAAUAAUUAAGAACAAGUGUGCAGGUUUGUGUACAUACACAGAGAAACAAAGUAUGCUCUGAAGGAUAGAACCUCUUAGUUGUAGUCUUUCAUUUGUUUCUUGACACUGCCAAAGGUAUUUUAAAGUACUGCAACUUUAUUUAUAGCCCCCAAGUAACAUUCUAGCUUUCAGCAACCUCUCCAAUGUAUAGGCUAUUUGGGUUUCCAUUGUCAAUGUGAGCACUUUAAUGACUGCAGCCAUUAUGGUUUUCAUUUAUAGAGCUGAAUGCUCUGAUAUUUGUCCAGGAACAGCAUGGGUAACAGUGAACCAUUUAUAGUUUAUGUCUCCUCAUCAUGAAUGGUACAUUAUUGACUAAAAAUGAGUAUAUUG
rnacentral:lncRNA from 1 species